rnacentral:ncRNA from 1 species
GAGCUGGGUUUAGAACGUCGCGAGACAGUUGAUGACCUUGGCUGUCUUAAAACUUGGCUAUAUGCUGGAACGUCCGUCCUCUAACUGAAAAGUGAAGAGGUGAAGAAUCUGGCGCUACUUCAAACGAAGUGAAAAUGCGUCCAGCGCGGAUAAUCAGCAGGAAAGACUAGUGAAAGCUAGAAUCCUCAGAGACUAUAUGCCAGGUGCCUGCAUUGCAGGUGAAGAUAUAGUCCGAACUGCAUGGCGACAUGCAG